rnacentral:rRNA from 1 species
GAUUAACGCUAGCGGCAGGCCUAAUACAUGCAAGUCGAGGGAGAUUGUGGUAGCAAUACUACAUGAGACCGGCGUACGGGUGCGUAACACGUAUGCAACCUACCUUUAACUGGGGCAUAGCCCCGAGAAAUCGGGAUUAAUACCCCAUAAGAUCAUAGAAGGGCAUCCUUCAGUGAUUAAAGCUCCGGCGGUUUUAGAUGGGCAUGCGCGACAUUAGCUAGUUGGUGCGGUAACGGUUCACCAAGGCUACGAUGUCUAGGGGUUCUGAGAGGAUUGUCCCCCAUAGUGGUACGGAGGCACGGACAAGACUACUAGGGGAGGCAGCAGUAAGGAAUAUUGGGCAAUGGGCACAAGCCUGACCCAGCCAUGCCGCGUGCAGGAUUGACGGCCCUAUGGGUUGUAAACUGCUUUUGUACGAGAAAAAACCCCCGGUCGUGAACCGGGGCUGAUGUUACCGUAAGAAUAAGCAUCGGCUAACUCCGUGCCAGCCGCCGCGGUAACAC